CCGUAAAUAGCCUGGAUCUAAGACCCCUGACUCCACACUCCAUUCCAAGCCUUUAUCAUCUUGCUACACAAACAGUCGGGUCAGAUAAGGAAUCUAACAGCAUGUCUGAUGAUCUUGACCUCCCUCCUGACUAACAGGGACUGAAUCUCAAGACCCCUAUCCCUCAUAGGUUAGUAGAUCGCCUCCCAGCAUAGUAGAUGGAUUCCAUAGCCAUUAUACCUUGAACCCC
rnacentral:lncRNA from 1 species